UAGUAACUGCGAGUGAAGCGGGAAAAGCUCAAAUUUAAAAUCUGUCAGUCUUUGGCUGUCCGAGUUGUAAUCUAGAGAAGUGUUAUCCGCGCUGGACCGUGUACAAGUCUCCUGGAAUGGAGCGUCAUAGAGGGUGAGAAUCCCGUCUUUGACACGGACUGCCAGGGCUUUGUGAUGCGCUCUCAAAGAGUCGAGUUGUUUGGGAAUGCAGCUCAAAAUGGGUGGUAAAUUCCAUCUAAAGCUAAAUAUUGGCGAGAGACCGAUAGCGAACAAGUACCGUGAGGGAAAGAUGAAAAGAACUUUGGAAAGAGAGUUAAACAGUACGUGAAAUUGCUGAAAGGGAAACGCUUGAAGUCAGUCGCGUUGUCCAGGGAUCAACCUUGCUUUUGCUUGGUGUACUUUCUGGUUGACGGGUCAGCAUCAAUUUUGACCAUUGGAAAAAUAUCAGGGGAAUGUGGCAUCUUCGGAUGUGUUAUAGCCCUUGGUUGUAUACAAUGGUUGGGAUUGAGGAACUCAGCACGCCGCAAGGCCGGGUUUUUAACCACGUACGUGCUUAGGAUGCUGGCAAAAUGGCUUUAAUCGACCCGUCUUGAAACACGGACCAAGGAGUCUAACAUACCUGCGAGUGUUUGGGUGGAAAACCCGAGCGCGUAAUGAAAGUGAAAGUUGAGAUCCCUGUCAUGGGGAGCAUCGACGCCCGGACCAGACCUUUUGUGACGGUUCCGCGGUAGAGCAUGUAUGUUGGGACCCGAAAGAUGGUGAACUAUGCCUGAAUAGGGUGAAGCCAGAGGAAACUCUGGUGGAGGCUCGUAGCGAUUCUGACGUGCAAAUCGAUCGUCAAAUUUGGGUAUAGGGGCGAAAGACUAAUC
rnacentral:rRNA from 1 species